rnacentral:rRNA from 1 species
UACGAAGGGGGCUAGCGUUGCUCGGAAUGACUGGGCGUAAAGGGCGCGUAGGCGGGAAUGUAAGUCGGGCGUGAAAGCCCCAGGCUCAACCUGGGAACUGCACUCGAAACUGCGUUUCUUGAGUAUCGGAGAGGAAAGCGGAAUACCUGGUGUAGAGGUGAAAUUCGUAGAUAUCAGGUGGAACACCAGUGGCGAAGGCGGCUUUCUGGACGAUUACUGACGCUGAGACGCGAAAGCGUGGGGAGCAAACAGG